GAUACAUUUUAGUAUCGAGAGCCCAUGGCUGAAGCAGAGGUGAUGAAGCCUCAUGCUUUUUUGUCGUCCACCCGUUUCUUCUCCGACUGAGCAUCGAAGCACAACCAGAGAAAAUGCUGGCCUCACCUCACCAUCCUCCUGUAUGCCGUUUUGUCUCUCCUCGGCCAUUGUCUCCCAAGCAAGGAUAUCCUCAUUCGAGGAAACUACUUCCGAGAAGAAUUUCAAGAAUGGAGGUCGCAUGUAGCAGCAAAGAUGGUGGAAAUUCCGGGCAUGAAGAUAACAGACAGCUUUACCUUGGGAUGGACUUCGGCACUUCUGGAGCCAGAUAUGCUCUUAUUGACGAUCAAGGAACCAUUCAGGCCGAGGGGAAACGAAAUUACCCGCAAUAUGUGAGCGAAAACACAAUGGAUUGGGCGACCUCAUGGAAAGCAACACUCUUCUUGCUACUUGAAGAUGUUCCAGUUAGUCUUCGCCCAUUCAUUUCUUCGAUAUCUAUUGACGGGACCUCUGCAACAACCAUCGUCGUUGACAGCACCACGGGGGAGCCAUUAUGCAGACCGUUUCUUUACAAUGAGAGCUUUCCUGAUGCUUUACCCUUGGUUAAAUCAGUUGCUCCUGCAAACCAUACAGUGUGCUCUGGUUCCUCUACCCUUUGCAAACUCGUUUCGUGGUGGAAUUCUCAUGAUUCCAAUAAAGAAUCUUCCUUGUUGCUGCAUCAAGCAGAUUGGCUUCUGUGGCAUCUCCACGGAAAACUUGGAAUCACUGAUUAUAACAACGCUUUGAAGGUUGGAUAUGAUCCUGAGAUUGAGUCGUAUCCACCGUGGCUGCUUCAGCAGCCAUACUCACAGUUGCUACCUUCUGUCAAAGCCCCUGGAACUUCAAUUGGUCAUUUGAAAGAGGAUAUUAGGACACAGUACGGUUUUCCAAAGGAUUGUGUCAUCUGCACAGGAACCACAGAUAGUAUAGCUGCUUUUCUUGCUGCACGGGCUACACAACCUGGGAAAGCUGUAACUUCUUUGGGUUCAACACUUGCUGUUAAACUUCUCAGCACUAAUCGAAUUGAUGAUGCACGCUUUGGGGUGUAUAGCCAUCGCCUUGAUGACAAGUGGCUUGUAGGAGGUGCUUCAAAUACUGGAGGAGCUGCUCUCAGACAAAUUUUCACUGAUGAGCAAUUGGAAGAAUUGAGUAAACAAAUUAAUCCCAUGGAAACUUCUUCUCUAGAUUACUACCCUCUGCCAGCUGUUGGAGAAAGAUUUCCUGUGGCAGACCCACAAAUGGUACCCAGGUUGCAUCCACGCCCAGAAAGCGAUGUAGACUACUUACAUGGAAUUUUUGAAUCCAUUGCUCGCAUUGAGGCAAAGGCUUAUGGGUUACUGAAGGAUCUAGGUGCAACCCAAGUAGACGAAGUUUUCACAGCUGGAGGGGGAGCCAAAAAUGAUAAAUGGACAAAGAUAAGAGAGAGGGUGCUUGGUUUACCUGUAAGUCGGGCAAUUCAGACAGAAGCUUCAUAUGGAGCUGCACUAUUGGCACUGAAAGGUGCUCGAUAAAUCUCUAGAGCAAGAGGAGCCAGACGGAGGAAGCAAUAUCUGCUUGGCUAGGCGAAUUAAGCAGUUACUUUUUUUUGGCUUCAAAUUAAGCAGAUAUUUAUAUUCUUUAUGGAGGGAACAAGAAAUCCUACCUGAUGUGGUAUCUGAAGCAUAAUUGCCAGGUUUGUGUAUGAAGGAAUUGGGCAUGAACAGGCAACCUCUGGGAUCAGAAUUGUUCAGAAUCACUCGUUGGGCCAUUGAUGAAAACAUCAACUGUUGGCAUAAGUUUUUCCAGCCAUAGAGGCGGACUACCUUUCCACACACCUUUGGGGCAAUUUCUACUGGCUAGGUAAUGAGCUAUUUGGACAACAAG